UAGUCACGCCGUAAACGAUGAGUGCUAAGUGUGGAGGGUUUCCGCCUUCAGUGCUGCAGCAAACGCAUUAAGCACUCCGCUGGGGAGUACGACCGCAAGGUUGAAACUCAAAGGAAUUGACGGGGGCCCGCACAAGCGGUGGAGCAUGUGGUUUAAUUCGAAGCAACGCGAAGAACCUUACCAGGUCUUGACAUCCUUUGACCACUCUAGAGAUAGAGCUUUCCCUUCGGGGACAAAGUGACAGGUGGUGCAUGGUUGUCGUCAGCUCGUGUCGUGAGAUGUUGGGUUAAGUCCCGCAACGAGCGCAACCCUUAUUGUUAGUUGCCAUCAUUUAGUUGGGCACUCUAGCGAGACUGCCGGUGACAAACCGGAGGAAGGUGGGGAUGACGUCAAAUCAUCAUGCCCCUUAUGACCUGGGCUACACACGUGCUACAAUGGGAAGUACAACGAGUCGCUAGGCCGCGAGGUCAUGCAAAUCUCUUAAAGCUUCUCUCAGUUCGGAUUGUAGGCUGCAACUCGCCUACAUGAAGCCGGAAUCGCUAGUAAUCGCGGAUCAGCACGCCGCGGUGAAUACGUUCCCGGGCCUUGUACACACCGCCCGUCACACCACGAAAGUUUGUAACACCCGAAGUCGGUGAGGUAACCUUUUGGAGCCAGCCGCCUAAGGUGGGAUAGAUGAUUGGGGUGAAGUCGUAACAAGGUAACCA
rnacentral:rRNA from 1 species